AUACGAAGGGGGCUAGCGUUGUUCGGAAUCACUGGGCGUAAAGCGUAUGUAGGCGGAUCAAAAAGUUAGAUGUGAAAUCCCUGGGCUCAACCCAGGAACUGCAUUUAAAACUAGUGAUCUAGAAAUUGGUAAGGGUUAGUAGAAUUUCCAGUGUAGAGGUGAAAUUCGUAGAUAUUACACAGAACACCGAUAGCGAAGGCAGCUCACUAGGCCUGGAUUGACGCUCAGGGACGAAAGCGUGGGGAUCAAACAGGAUUAGAUACCCUGGUAGUCCACGCUGUAAACGAUGAUUACUCGUUUUCGGCGAUAUACAGUCGGAGACUAAGCGAAAGUGAUAAGUAAUCCACCUGGGGAGUACGAUCGCAAGGUUGAAACUCAAAGGAAUUGACGGGGCCCGCACAAGCGGUGGAGCAUGUGGUUUAAUUCGAUGAUACGCGAGGAACCUUACCAGGGCUUAAAUGCAGAGCGAAUAGUUUGGAAACAGG
rnacentral:rRNA from 1 species